rnacentral:rRNA from 1 species
GAUCCUGGCUCAGAUUGAACGCUGGCGGCAGGCCUAACACAUGCAAGUCGGGCGGUAACAGGGGGAAGCUUGCUUCUCUGCUGACGAGCGGCGGACGGGUGAGUAAUGUAUGGGGAUCUGCCUGAUGGCGGGGGGAUAACUACUGGAAACGGUAGCUAAUACCGCAUAAUGUCUUCGGACCAAAGCGGGGGGACCGUCCGGGCCGUCGCGCCAUCAGAUGAACCCACUAUGGGAGUUAGUCUAGUAGGUUAAAGGG